rnacentral:SRP_RNA from 1 species
GCCGGGCGCGAUGGUGCGUGCCUGCAGUCCCAGCUACUCCGGAGGCUGAGGUGGGAGGAUCGCUUUAGCCCAGGAAUUCUGGGUUGUAGUGCGCUAUGCGUAUCGGGUGUCCGCACUAAGUUCGGCAUCAAUAUGGUGACCUCCUGGGAGCAGGGGACCACCAGGUUUCCUAAGGAGGGGUGAGCCGGCCCAGAUCGGAAACAGCAAGUCAAAACUCCGGUGUUGAUNNNNNNNNNNGGAUGGUGCCUGUGAAUAUCCACUGCACUCCAGCCUGGGCAACAUAGCGAGACCUGGUCUCUA